AGGCUCCCAACUCUCCCCAGCAACACUGCCUGCCCCAGGGUCUGCUCUGGUCCUCCCAGCUGACGUUUCCUACAUCCAGCUGCCUCUUUUCCUGCAUGGAACAGAUUAGGGCUGACCUGACUACUUCAUAAAAGACCUGUCUGCUUACCUGGACUGUCCUGGGCCCACCUGGAAUUUGACAUGGAUUAAACUCUUUUAAAGGCAAGACAAAAGCAUUUACUGCCAGGACAUGAUGGAUCAAUUGCCUCAACUAAUGGGGCCAGCACCAUGCCUCCCUGGGGGAAGGAAAGGCCACCAAAUGUCACACUGGAGCCAUCCAACGUCACGCCCUUCAACUGAUCACUCGCUGCCUUACCAGCAGCUGAAGGAUCUGAGCAGCAUGUCCUUCAUAUCCCUGAUCUCGCCGGCCAGAGUGCAUUUCUCUUCAGUGAGGUCCUGGAGUUGUUUUGUCUUUUUGUUGAGAA